AUUAACCCGAUAGUGAGUGAUUUUAGAACCAACACUCAUUACCUUGGGAAGCAUCCUGAAAUUGGCGUUGUGCAAGCCCACAAUCUAGUGGGAAGCCUGAACCAAUUCAUCCGCUGCCCACUUGAACCUAAGGGUUCAAAAUCGAUAACUGUCGGGUUACUC
rnacentral:other from 1 species